UCCGAGUUGACCCCGGCAGUCUCCUAUGAGUCCCCACCAUCACGUGCUGGCAACAUAGAACGAGGGUUGCGCUCGUUGCGGGACUUAACCCAACACCUCACGGCACGAGCUGACGACAACCAUGCACCACCUGUAUAGGACGCCGAAGCACACCACAUCUCUGUGGCUUUUCCCUAUAUUUCAAGCCCUGGUAAGGUUCUUCGCGUUGCAUCGAAUUAAGCAACAUGCUCCGCUGCUUGUGCGGGCCCCCGUCAAUUCCUUUGAGUUUUAGCCUUGCGGCCGUACUCCCCAGGCGGGGCACUUAAUGCGUUAGCUGCGCCACUGACAGGCAAGCCUGACAACGGCUAGCAUUCAUCGUUUACGGCGUGGACUAC
rnacentral:misc_RNA from 1 species